GGUGGGACCAGAUCCCAGCAAACCUGAGCGCCUGAGUCCAGCUCCACAUGCUGCUGCAAAUGUGCCAUGAGGGCUUUUGAAGGCACAGGCCAAAGCAGUUUUACCAAUCUUACUGGAAAAAUGAAGCAAGUCACAAGGUCUACCUUCUAUGCUGUUACUGGCUGGAGUCCACCUGUCACCCAGCAGUGAAGACUAACAGCCUCGCCUGACACUCCCUCAGCUCCCGGAGCGAUACCAACAACCACAAAACCCUAAAGAGUCCCUGGGAUGCAGCUGUCUCUAGACCCCUUGACAAAGACAGCGAGGCUCAUCGUGGUAAGACCAGCCUCUCACUUAGGGUGAAGAAGCAAGCCACACGGCUUCUGACGGCUCCACACGAAACCAUCUGAGCGGCACUUGAAAGGAUCUUUGCUAUCUUUGGUCCAACACUGGACCUAACUCUCAACAGUGGCCUCACAGUUUCACUCAUCAAACUCGUGGCAGGCAGGACAUUAGUUAAUAAACCCCUAUGGCCAGCUGGACAAGAGAAUGAAGCUUCUCAUACAAAAUGUCCACAAGGCAGUCUUUCCGAAGAGCAUCCAUGUAUCGGAUCCUGUGUGUCUGUCUGUCUGUAACCUUGGGUCACUUGUCCCACAGCUGGACUCCCUCUGCUCUCUCUCUUUGUAGCCCUGGCUGUCAAACCAAUAAAUACAGGUCAAUCCUGCAAUUCUUGCCUCAGCCUCUGCUUUGUAGACAAUUUGGGCUUAAAAUAAACACCCUCUAAACCCAUCUUUACGGAACAGUGUCCAAAGUGAGAGCACCACUUAGCACAAAGACAAAUUAGAC
rnacentral:lncRNA from 1 species